GAGGCGGCGCGUGCGCGCUCCCUCAAGAGGGCCUCCGCUGGAGCGCGCUCCCGCGGCGGCGGCGCGCGAUGUCGCUCAGAACGCGGUGCCUGGAGAUCUUCUGAGAACCCUGGAGGGUGUACACAUUCCAAAUGAGAGGUCCAUUUGACUUUUGCUUCAAGUUAAGGUGUUUUGUAUCCUUACCAUAAAGUGAUUGAUGAUUAGAAGCUGAUAAGAAUUGAUAACACAAGAAGAUAAUGCAUUUUGAAGGGGUUUUGAAAACAGCAACAGAAGAAGUGGAUUUCAGGUCAGCCCUAAGAAUCUAAAUUUUUCCAAGCACCCUCAUAUGAUGGAGUUCAAAUGAGAAGAAAAAACCCAAGUUAAUGAGUAAGAAUCCAUUUCCACUGUUUAACUCAGUACUUUCCAAACCUGGACAUUGGAAUCACCUGAGAAACUUUAAAAGCCAACAGAUGUUUUGGACCUGAUUAAAACAAAUCUCAAAGCUACAGAAAAGCUGCAAGAAGAAUACAGAUGGAGUCACCAGGCUGGAGUGCAAUGGCACAAUCUCAGCUCACUGCAACCUCCGACCCCCAGGUUCAAACAAUUCUCCUGCCUCAACCUCUGGAGCAGCUGGGAUUACAGGAGCCCGCCACCAUGCCAGGCUUUUUUUUUUCCCUUGUAUUUUUAGUAGAGACAGGGUUUCACCAUGGUGGCCCAGCUGGUCUCGAACUCCUGACCUCAGGUGAUCAGCCCGCCUCGGACUCCCAAAGUGCUGUGAUUACAGGCAUGAGCCACCACGCCCAGCUACAUGCCAUUUUUAGAACGACCCUUAAUUUGAGGUUGGAGCUGGUGUAAUGAGAUCCAGGUGCAACCCUUGAGAUAUCAGGGGUCCCCAUCCUGUUCUACUGAGAAGCCCCAAACCUUCAGUACCUAUAGUUCAUGUACUGCCUCUUCCAAGGAGCCUGCCUUGAUGGCUUGAUUGCAGUUAUCAAAUGACAUCUCACUAUUGAGAUGAUCUGUUUCCUCGUCCUUUUCUCAACGGAAUGUGAGAUUCUUGAGACCAAGAUGUAAUAGGCACAUGAAAAUUAUUUUUUGAGUGUUGACUGAAUGAGUUUCUCUGGUGGAAAUAAUCCCCCCGACUCCUCUGAGCUCCCUUGGUGCUUUGCAUUUACCUCACUCGUGAUUUUUUUCACAUUCCACCUUGUACUAUGAUUUCUGUAUUUGGUAGCUCCACUAUUAGACUCAAUUCUUCUGCAACAGAGAUAAAAUAUUGCAUGUAAAUUAUUAGUACCACAUCUGCUGAUUAAAUAACUAUUAUUAUUUGUGUAAUGAGGUAGCUGGAGUAGCAGAAAAUAUAUUUUAUUUUUUAAAAAAUAGCUUCUGGUGCUGUGGCUCUCGCCUGUAAUCCCAGGACUUUGGGAGGCCAAAGUGGACAGAUCACAAGGUCAGGAGUUUGAGACCAGCCUGGUCAAUAUGGUGAAACCCCGUUUCUACUAAAAAUAGAAAAUUUAGCCAGAUGUGGUGGAAAGCACCUGUAGUCCCAGCUACCCGGGAGGCUGAGGCAGAAGAAUCACUUGAAGCCAGGAGGCAGAGGUUGCAGUGAGCCAAGAUCACACCACUACACUCCAGCCUGGCCAGCUGAGCAAGCAAGACUCCAUCUAAAAAGAAAAAAUAAAACACUAAAUCUAUCAUUUCAUUAAGAAGCUUUCCUUAUGGCUGGGCGCGGUGGCUCACACCUGUAAUUCCAGCACUUUGGGAGGCCAAGGCGGGUGGAUCACGAGGUCAAGAGAUCGAGACCAUCCUGGUCAACAUGGAUGACCCAUCUCUACUAAAAAUACAAAAAAUUAGCUGGGCACGGUGGUGUCCCAGCAACUCAGGAGGCUGAGGCAGGAGAAUUGCCGGAACCCAGGAGGCGGAGGUUGCGGUGAGCCGAGAUCGCGCCAUUGCACUCCAGCCUGGGUAACAAGAGCGAAACUCCGCCUCAAAAAAAAAAAGCUUUCCUUUUAUAAUUGUAUAACCAUAUAAAGAGGAAAACUCCCAGCCCUACCUUCUCUGGCCCCUGUGUGUCUGUCAAGAUCUUCGGUCUGGGUUUGAGUCAACACUAGGUUUGAGUCAUAUUUGCAACCUAUUUGUUUUGUGAUCUUUAGCAACUCACUUAAGUUCCAAGUGUGUUUUUCACAUAUAAAAAGGGACAAUUAUAUAUGGAUCAUAAAAUUAGAUGAGAUAUUAUAUGUCAGACACUAAGCCUGACACAAAAUAAGCUCUUAGCAAAUGUUAGCUAUCACUAUUCAUUAUUUCCUUCAACACCAAACUCCACUCUGCAUCCUUUUAUUGUUAUUAUUUUUUGAGAUGGAGUCUUAUUCUGUUACCCAAGCUGAAGUGCAAUGGCAUGAUCUCAGCUCACUGCAACCUCUGCCUUCCAGGUUCAAGCAAUUCUCCUGCCUCAGCCUCCUGAGCAGCUGGGACUAAAGGCGCACGCCAUUAUGCUCAGUUAAUUUUUUGUAAUUUUCAGUUGAGAUGGGAUUUUGCCAUGUUGGCUAGGCUGGUCUCAAAUCCCUGACCUCAAGUGAUCCAUCUGCCUCGGCCUCUCAAAGUGUUGGGAUUACAGGUGUGAGCCACCCCACCCAGCCUCACUCUGCAUCCUCUUACACCUUCCCCGUGUUCACACUUGAAUCUACUGCCAUCCAGUACCCACACCCUACACACUUCAAUGGUUUUUUUUUCUCAUGUUAAAUGGUUCUUUUUUUUGUAUAUACUUAAGGGAUAUAACAUACUUCAAUAUACAUAUACAUAGUGAAAUGAUUACUACAGUCAACCAAAUUAAUAUAUCCAUCUCCUCACAGUUCCUUUUUUUUUAAAGUUUUAUAGCUUUUUUGAGGUAUAACUGACAAAAUUUUAUAAAGUAUAAAUGUGACAAUUUGAUAUAUGUAUAUUGUGAAAUGAUUAACACAUCAAGUUAACACACCUAUCACUUCACCUCAUGAACCUUCCACGUCUCUGUGUGUUCAGGGGGCUGGAUGGUGAGUAAGAACAUUUAAGAUCUCUCAACAAUUUCAAGUGUUGUAGUAUUACAUGGCAACUACAGUCACUAGGCUGUAUGUUACGUCCACAGAACUUAUUCAUCUUAUAUCUGAAAGUUUGUUCCCUUUGACCAACAUUUCCCCAUUUCCCCUGCCACCAGCCCCUAGCGACCACCAUUCUGCUCUUUGUUUCUAUGGGUUCAGCUUUUUUAGAUUCUAUGUGUAAGUGAGAUAGUACAAUACUUGGCUUUGUCUAUCUGGUUCACUUUACUUAGCACAAUGCAUUCAAGAUUCGUUUAUGUUACAAAUUAUUGUAUGUCCUUCUAUUGAAGGCUCAAUAAUAUUCCGUUUGUCUAUACAUAACACAGUUUCUUUACCCAUUCAUCUAUCAAUAGACAGGUUGUUUCCAUGUUGUGGCUACUGUGAAUCAUGUUAGAGUGAACAUGGGCAUGCAGAUUCUCUUUGAGAUGUUGAUUUCAUUUCCUUUCAUCUAUACCCAGGAGUGAGAUUGUUGGGUCAUGUGGUAGUUCUGUUUUUAAUUUUUUGAGGAACCUCCACAAUGUUUUCCAUAAUGGCUAUACCAAUUUACAUUUCCACCAAGAGUGGAGAAGGGUUCCCUUUUCUCUGCAUCCUUACCGACACUCGAUAUAUUUUGUUUUUUUGAUGAUAGCCCUUCUAAGUGGUGUUAGAUUAUAUCUCAUGGCGGUUUUGAUUUGCAAUUCCCUGAUGAUUAGUGAUGUAAGCACCUUUUCAUGUACCUGUGGGUCAUCUGUAGGUCUGCUUUGGGAAAGUGUUUCCUGAGGCCCUUUGUUCAUUUUUUAAUUGGAUUUUUGUCGGGGGGGGGGCUACUGAGUUGUAUGAAUUCCUUAUACAACUGUAUUCUGUAUAUUAACCCCUUAUCAGAUAUAUGGUUUACAAAUAUUUUCUCCCAUUCCAUAGGUUGCCUUUUCAUUGCAUUGAUUGUUUCCAUUGCUUGUGCAGAUGCUUAGUUUAUAGUCCAACUCAUUUUGUUUGCUUUUGUUGCUUGUGUACUUUGAUGUUGUUUUAAAGGUCUUCAAUGACUUUCUUAUUGCCAAGGUCAAUGAAUACUUUUCAUUGUUUCCACUGCUUUCUUUGGGGUAUAUGAUAUUACUAAAAACUCUCUUCUUUUUGGAAUUCUCUCCUUUUUGUUUCCAUGGCAAUCCAUUCUCUUCAUUUCCCUGAUGAGUCACAAUGUCUCCCUUCUCUGUUUUCUUACUUGGCAUCUUCUUCUGUUAGCCAGACCUUAUGUAUUAUUACUCCCAGAUUUAAUUAUUCACCUGUAUUUCCUUUCCACCUGGCACACUGCUACCUUGACUUCAAUUGUUAUUCAUAUUCCAGCCACUCUUAAAUGUAUAUUUAUUCUUCUAUGUUAAUCUCCAGACCUGUAUUUUUGACAUCUUACUUCACAUCUCCACCUGGAUUUCUCUUGGGAACCUCAAACCUGGGAUAUAUAAAGUAAAAUAUAUCCUCUCCCACCCCAAACCAGCUCCUAAUUCAUAGUCAGUUUUCUGUUAGUGGUAUUACUAUUUCCACAUUCAUCCAAGUAAACUGAUGUUAUCUGUAACUUCUCCCUCUCUCUCACCACACUGCUCCACACUCCACUCCCAUCAAUAUGCACUCAUUUUAUUUAUUCUACUCCUAAACACCUCUCAAAUCUAACUUAUCUUCUAUGUCCUCACUGCCAGAACCUUUAUUUCAGCCAUCAUUUUCUCUUGCCCAAAUAUUGCAGUAGUAUUCUACAUUUUGUAUUUAUAAAAUACAAUAACACUCAUCAGCUAAAAUCCUUUACAGACCUCAUCUUCAAAACGGGACAGAACCAGAGUGGGGCUAUAAAAAUGCAGAAUUUUGUUUUACUUUUUUUUUAAGCUAUGUGGUUAGCACACAGAACACUUCAUUGUUGUUUUUAGGGGAAGGGGCAUAUUUCACUAACAUAAUGUCUCCAAAGCUAGAUGGAUGUGGGAAAAACACUUUUCCCUUCUAGUUUUGAGAGACUUCCUCUUGGCUCUCAGGAGGAGAGAUUCCCUGGCUUUGACACACAUGACCACCUUGGCACACAAAAGGCUUGUGGUAUGGAAAAACAAACUUGUUUUUAUGUCCUCUUCUCCCUUUCCAUCUUUCAGCACAGACUUACCACCCUUAAGCCCAAACAUCUGUUGGGACCUGACCCGUCAGGCACUCUGGACUUUCCAGUGAUCCCACUGAGAUGGCACCUGUCAAAAGAGCAGUGGUUCCAUUUCUAGAUAGUGGAUCUUCAGAUAAAUUCUGCCAUUUUCAUUUCACUUCCUGAAAGUCAGGGUUGGCUUGUGAAAGUUCUUAAACAACAUGCUAAAUGUGAAAUGUCAACCCUCACUCUAAACUUUCCCUGUUCAGAGCAUCAGAUGAAAACUGAGUUGGGUUUUAUGGUGGCUUUCUGAUUAUUGGUAGUCCAGCGAAUAACGGAGUUUGAAAGGUGUUGUAUACUGUUAACGACUGUCUGCCCAUGUCCUGCCUGAAAUACCAUGAUGGUUUAUGUAAAGUAUCUUUAAUAAAGCA